CUCGCAGAUGGAAUUCAAAUACCUGUCGUGUUCAAGACAGCCCCAUGGGGAUUAUAGGUGGAUGUCAGAACUAUACCCAGAUUCAGACAUGUGACACUUUCGGGCUGAAGCACUUAAGAGCCAGUGUGCCCUGUCCAUUUCUGUCUUCUGUCCUGUGGAUUUGGAAGCAUGUGUUGACAGAACAAUGUCUUAUGGUGAAGGAAGCCUAAACCCCUGAGUCAUUGGAUGGAGGAGAGCCCAUGUUGACCCAUAAAGGACUUCAUGGUCUCGCUCUGUCACCCAGGCUGGAGUGCAGGCGUGCUAUCUUGGCUCACUGCAACUUCUGCUUCCCGAGUUCAAGAGAUCCUCAUACCUCAGCCUCCUGAGUAGCCGGGACUACAGGCAUGCGCCACCACACCCAGAUAUGACUUAGAAUAUGAUUGAAUAUGAAUACAUGAUUGAAGAUAUAUUAUAAAAUUGAGAUACUUGUUGCAACACAACAGGGAAAUGAAUACAGAAGGGCUCAAAGUAUUUUAUAGAGGGUAUACGAGCAAUUUGACGUCGCAGAAAACCUGUCAGAAAGAAGCACCAUGGAAUAGAGGAAAGAGGCCCGGAAUCCAGCCCCGGGAACUGUGACAGCCUCUGGGGUGGGGACUCUCGUGGAAAGGCUAGAUGAUGGAGUCACGUGCUCCCUUCCCGUUCACUAGCUGCUGAUUGGCCAACUGCUCCUGCCAGCUGUCCCUGCACUCCAGCUUCCUACCAUAUGCUCCAGAAUAACGUCUGGAAAGUGAGCCCCAUCCAUCAAGUUUGUCACACCUUGCACUCAAUCUGCUACCUUCUCUACAGUAUUUGUCCACGUCUCUGCCCUGCUUCAAAUCCUUCAGAGGCUCCCCAUCACCCACAGGGAUGAUCUUUCUGAAAUGGAUUUGGCCAUGCCAGUCUCCUGCCUGAAACAGCCCUCCUGGCUCCUUGUCACUCAAAGGAAAAGGCAAACUCCUCAAGACUGCACAUAAUGCCCACCUUCCCAACCAGCCUCUCCUACUGCCACUCUCUCUCCUACACCCUACCUUCCAAACCCUACUUGGGGUUCACCCUCACAUGCUGGAGUUUUCCCAUCUCUGAGACUUCAUUCAGGCAGUUCCUUCUGGCUUCGGAGGCUUCUUUGUUCCUAAAGUUCAUACUUUAAGACCUAGCUGAAAUAUCAAGGCUUCCUGGACUCUGCAGGUGACACGAGCCACUGUGCUCCUGGAUGCUUCAGAACCUGUGCAGAUCUCUGUCUUCACUCCUACUAUGGCAUCUCCUAGCAUGUUCUACACUGAGCUCCACUGGGCCUUGCAUGUCAGUAUCCCGAAUUCUGAAUGAAGCUUGGAACAUGGGAGGUGCAUCCACUAACAACAUGAAGAAUGAAGACAUGUGUGAGUAAAUGAACAGUUCUCUUCUUAGUGGAAGUUGGCAAAUAGUUGUGAACUUUAAUAUGAUUCUGACAUAUUAAUAUCUUUAUUUUUAGAUAACAGAGUAGAUGGAAACCAUAUGGUAAAACCUAAAGCAAAAUCCACCCUCUAACCUUUCUGUAAGUGAAACACCCAAUUUUCUCGAAGGUGCAGUAAAAGAGCUAAAGCACAGGAGACUAAGUCAUGCAGGCCUAGCUUAGUGUUCUCCUGCCAAUGAUCUGCUGCAAAGACCACCAGGGACACAUCUGUAGUUGAACAUGUUGGGUUAUUCCUCAGCGCAGAGGGAGGAGCAAUGAGGCAUCUCUGAAAGAGGGUGUUAGAAAGAAUGUAUCACAAGAUUUGGGCUUAAGGUAAGUAAUUUUGGGGAUGGUCAACAAAGUGGGGUUUUUCUCUGAAUUGGAUGCUGUCAUAAUGUGGGGGUAAUUCUGUGAUUAUCCCAACAAUACUUAUCUGGAAGGCAAGAAGAACAGAGCAAGGCUGAAACCAGGCUAGAGAAAUGUUUGAUCAGUUUUCCAAUUUUGACAAUGUUCAUGUUUUGCCUGUGUUCAGCCAUGAUGACCUGGUGGUCUUGAUUUUGUCUUGACCUAUCAUGGUCACUAAGUGGCCUUGCCUUAUGCUGAUGGUAUGUGAAAUGUUGAUGUUCAACAGGAGAAUGCCAGCACCUUGCUGUGGGGGUGGGCCUGCCCCUGACUGUCAGAGGCUGCUGUUCUUUUUCUUACCAUCACACAUUUAGCAGCCCUAGGAUUCUGUGCAGGGUACUUAACGUCUUUGGGUGCCAGUUUCCUCAUCUGUAAAAUGAGGCUAGAAAUACCCUCUGUGAAGGAGAAAACAUGUUGAUUGUCUAGCACAGAGUCUGAAACAUAGGAGAUACUCCAAAAAACAUUAGGUCCCUUAUGUCUGGGAGUGUGGCUUUAUCCUCCCUUUAUAGACAAUGGUUUUAGGCCUAAUAAUCACCUGUGGGUUUCUUUUCAAAUGGCCUCUCCUUCAUAGCACAUAGGUGCAAUUGCAGAUGAGCUCUCAGUUAUUAAUAAAAGAAUGGUGCUGGACCAGCCUAGGAAAAUUGUGCAGAAUGAAUGUGGAGUUAAUGCAAACAACCUGGCUGCAGGGCCCUGUGGAUAACAGAAACUUCCACCGUUUGCAGACUACUCCACAUGUCCUUUAACUAUCUAUGAAUUAUGUGCUCGACUACAGCAGCCAAGUGGACUCACAGAACUGGAGUAAUAAUGGUAUAUCUCUACAGAAACUUUUACAGUUUAUAUACGGUCUUUCCAAUGUCACAUAGUCUUACUUGAGCUACACACCAGGACUGUGCCUUUAGAGCUCCUGUCUUCAUUUUACAGCAAAGAAACCUGGGCUCCCUGCAGUUGGGUGACCUGUGCAGUUACUCAGCCAGCACACAGCAGAGCUGGGACAUACUGCUUUUUUUUUUUAAUCUUUUUUAGAUUUUUAUUUGUGGUGAAACAUAAACAACAUAACCUUUGCCAUUUUAACCACGUUUAAGUGUACAAUUCAGCAGCAUUAAUUACAUUCACAAUGUUGUGCAACCAUCAGCAUCAUUUCCAGAACUCUUUCAUCACCCCAAACAGAAACUCUGUACCCAUUAAGCAAUUAACUCCCCAUUCAUUCCCCAAAUCCCCAGCCCUAGUCUAAUCUACUUUCCAUCUCCACGAUUUUACCUAGUCUUGUUUUUAAAUCAAUUUCAGUGAGGUAUAAUUUACAUACAAUGAAAUGUACCCAUUUUAAAUGUACAGUUUAAUGAACUUGACAAAUAUAUACACCCAUGUCAGCUAUAGAGCAUUUCUUCACCCUAAAGACUUCUCUUGUGCCUUCUCAGUCAACUCCCUAUCUCAGUGCCAGCUCUGAUCUGCUUUUGAUUGCUAUAGACUAGGUUUGUUUUUUCUAGAGUUUCAUGUAAACAUACUCAGGUCUUUUUAAGCCUACUAUCCUCUCCACUACCACGUGUUCCCUCUCAUAGAAGGUUGAAGCUGGAAGGGCCCUCACACCUACAGCUCCUUUUCCGCAUGAAGAAACUGAAGCCCCAGACACAAGGGGUACUUUCCCAAAGCUAUACAGGAGACAGUGGAGAGCCAGGGAGCAGCUCAGGGUUCAGACUCCCAUUUCUGUGCUGGUUUCCUUGCUUUCUUCUCCCAGCCCCAGCUCUUUGGCAUGAAGUAUAAGGGCAAAUGGUUUCCUAUGUCACAUUAUAACAAGACGCUCUUGGAAGCUACCUAAAUUGUGCUGAUUACUUUCUGCCCAUUUAAUAUUUCUUGUAUUUGUUUUUGGAAAGAUUGACUACCUUUGACAAAAGUAUGUCAAAAGCAAUACAUCUUACUAGUGGAGCGAAGACACUGCAUGCUGACAAAGGUGAUCUCAGAUGUGAGGUCGAUGGUGCGCCAUGCAAUCAGCUUGCUGAGUGAGCCUACUUAUGCCCCAUCCCGGGGGCCUAGGGUAAGAAAAGUGCCAAGCGAAGCUGAGGAUCAGACUAAAGCUGGAAGUUCACAGUAUUGGCCAUGCAGUGAUCCAUAUCACCUGUGACAGUAAUGAAACCGCCAAACUCACUGCAGCAUGAGCCUUUUCUUUCCUCUUAUCAGGUGUCAAGGCACAGGCUGAGUCAUCAGAACACCUUCCCUGAAUUGUGUCAAACAAGUGUACAUGUGCUCAAGUGUAUCUGGAUUCUGAUUUGGCUGCACAGUCACUGUUUUCCAGAUGUUUGCAGAAGAAAUAUGAGCUGGAGGAGACUCACUGAAAGCUGGAACUAGAAGGAUGCACACUGCUCAUCCAAGCCAAUUCACUUAUUUUACCAAUGAUAAAACUGAGUCUCAGAGAAGUCAUACGCUUGCCCAAAGACACAGCUUGUGGUGGAGGAGUCAACACCAGAACUCUGGUCCAGGACUGCAAAAAAACACUUAACAUGUGCUAAUAAUGAGGAUAAAAGAUACUUCAAAUUCUGGGAGUUCUAUAAUGUUUGAGCACAUAUACCAUUGAAUCCUUUUAAUAACCCAUCGCUUACACAGAUGAGGAAACCAAGGCUCAUAGAAAUAAAGUGCUUUGCCAAAAGGCACAAAACUGGUCAGUAAUAAAUCUGAUCUCCAGGUUCCCAGUCCAGAACUUUCUGCAGCACUAUCUUUUUGUUCCCUUUAACUACCAGAAGCUUUAACCCAAAAUGAGGCUUCAACUAUAAAAGCUAUUUAAGACCUUAUGGCUGCGUAUCUCUGCCCUAAGUUUUCUCUUGAUCCUUAUUUUAUAUUCUAAUGUUUAAAACUUGUUCCCCAAAUUUUUAAAGUUUGCAUUCAUUUUAUUUCAAUAAGCCACGCCAAAAUCUGUGUGUCAUAAGCUAUCUAUACGUAAAUAAAUGAACGAAUGAAUGAGCAAACAAACAAAAUCUUAAGAGGCAGAGUAACAUGGUGGAAAAAUACCAGGCUUACAUUCAAUUCAAUACCACUUUGUCUAUUGUCUUCAUCUUUGAGCCUCACUUUCAUUAUCUGUCAAACAGGUCUAACAAAAUUUAUCAUUAAGCAUUAUUAUAAGUCUAAAAAUAAACAUGGAACAUAUGAAGAA
rnacentral:lncRNA from 1 species